rnacentral:lncRNA from 1 species
CGGUAAUAAAGAUUGGUAUUAUUCAUAUCUUUCUCUAAUUCUAUUGUUCUAAUUGCAUUAUGUCUCUAAUUAUUAUGUUCUUAGUUUGCUCUAGUUCUAUAUUUGAUAUAGUUCUAAUUGAUAAUGAGUUUAUGUAUAAGUUUGCAAAGCGCUUAGCUCUUGACGCGAGGGAGUUAGGUGAUAGAUCACAUGUGAGCGUGGUGCUUAUAUGUUAUUUAUCUGCAAAUGUAUCCUAUUGGCCGGGUCGUGUGGUAGUUCGCGAUAGUGACAGCUUCGUUGAUUCUUAUAUAGUCCACCCUCCGUUGAUAGGACAGGC